rnacentral:rRNA from 2 species
AGUCUGAUGGAGCGACGCCGCGUGAGUGAAGAAGGCUUUCGGGUCGUAAAACUCUGUUGUUGGAGAAGAAUGGUCGGCAGAGUAACUGUUGUCGGCGUGACGGUAUCCAACCAGAAAGCCACGGCUAACUACGUGCCAGCAGCCGCGGUAAUACGUAGGUGGCAAGCGUUAUCCGGAUUUAUUGGGCGUAAAGCGAGCGCAGGCGGUUUUUUAAGUCUGAUGUGAAAGCCCUCGGCUUAACCGAGGAAGCGCAUCGGAAACUGGGAAACUUGAGUGCAGAAGAGGACAGUGGAACUCCAUGUGUAGCGGUGAAAUGCGUAGAUAUAUGGAAGAACACCAGUGGCGAAGGCGGCUGUCUGGUCUGUAACUGACGCUGAGGCUCGAAAGCAUGGGUAGCGAACAGGAUUAGAUACCCUGGUAGUCCAUGCCGUAAACGAUGAAUGCUAGGUGUUGGAGGGUUUCCGCCCUUCAGUGCCGCAGCUAACGCAUUAAGCAUUCCGCCUGGGGAGUACGACCGCAUGGUUGAAACUCAAAGGAAUUGACGGGGGCCCGCACAAGCGGUGGAGCAUGUGGUUUAAUUCGAAGCAACGCGAAGAACCUUACCUGGUCUUGACAUCUUUUGAUCACCUGAGAGAUCAGGUUUCCCCUUCGGGGGCAAAAUGACAGGUGGUGCAUGGUUGUCGUCAGCUCGUGUCGUGAGAUGUUGGGGUUAAGUCCGCAACGAGCGCA